CCUACGGGCGGCAGCAGUGAGGAAUAUUGGUCAAUGGAGGCAACCCUGAACCAGCCAAGUCGCGUGCGGGAAGACGGUCCUAUGGGUUGUAAACUCCUUUUGUUAGGGAAUAAAUUGACUGAAUUUAAGCAAUAAGCACCGGCUAACUCCGUCCCGGCAGCCGCGUUAAUACGGAGGGUCCAAGCGUUACUCGGAAUCACGGGGCGUAAAGGGAGCGCAGGCGGUAUAGCAAGUCAGAUGUGAAAUCCUACGGCUUAACCAGAGAACUGCAUUUGAAACUGUUAGUCUAGAGUCUGGGAGAGGUAGGUGGAAUUCUUGGUGUAGGGGUAAAAUGCGUAGAGAUCAAGAGGAACACUGAUUGCGAAGGCGACCUGCUGGAACGUAACUGACGCUGAUGCGCGAAAGCGUGGGGAGCAAACAGGAUUAGAUACCCCUGUAGUC
rnacentral:rRNA from 1 species